rnacentral:lncRNA from 1 species
CGUACCUAUCAUAAGUUGAAUAUGAUUUAUAAGAUAUUUAAUAAUCUUACACCAUCCUAUUUACAGGAACUCUGUCCGGUCCAAGUUAGAUCUAUAACAGCUUACAAUCUCCGUACCGGAGAAGAUUAUCAUAUCCCACAUGCUAUGACUGAACGUUUUAAAAAAUCCUUUUCAGUCUCCUCAAUCAAACUUUGGAACACUUUGCCACUUGACGUUCGUAGCUCUCACUCAUUAGCUUGUUUCCAAAACAGCUAUAUGAAGUGGCGUAAAAUGCCAAAAAUCAAUACCCUAUUUACCACUGGAAAUCGCAUGGCUUCUUUAUUGCAUACUCGAUUUCGUUUACGUAACAGUAUUACUUUAAAUUAUCCUUUGUUCCUGAUGAACUGUGUGGCCUCACCAAUGUGUAGUUGUGGUUUAGCAAAUGAAACAGAGCUCCACUUCUUCUUUGAAUGUAAUCGAUUUGCUGCUGAACGUUGUGCUCUUCUUGCUGCCGCUGAACAAUUGCUCGGUACUUUAUGGUUAAACUCAUCAACCUCAAUGCGCUUUCAAUGGUUUUUAUAUGGACAUCCUGAUGUAACUUUAUCAAUUAACGUUAAGCUAUUUUCACUUGUGCAG